rnacentral:rRNA from 1 species
CAAGGGCGUAUAUUAAUGUUGUUGCAGUUAAAAAGCUCGUAGUUGGACUUUGGAAAGACGUCGGAGAUCCAGGGCGGUUGCCUUGUGUAUCUUCGUAUUGUCAUUCCUUUGAUCGGAUACCUGUGCUGUGCAUUCACUUGCGUGGCACGUUAAGGGAUUCGAUCUGGUUACUGUGAGAAAAUCAGAGUGUUCAAAGCAGGCGUUUGCCUUGCAUGGAUUAGCAUGGAAUAACAACUUUAGACCUCGGUCUUCUUUGUUGGUUUAAAGACUGAAGGCACUUGAUUAAUAGGGACAGUUGGGGGCAUUCGUAUUCCGUUGUCAGAGGUGAAAUUCUUGGAUUACGGAAGACGAACUUAUGCGAAAGCAUCUGCCAAGGAUGUUUUCAUUAA